rnacentral:rRNA from 1 species
GACGAACGCUGGCGGCGUGCCUAAUACAUGCAAGUCGAACGCUGAAGGAGGAGCUUGCUUCUCUGGAUGAGUUGCGAACGGGUGAGUAACGCGUAGGUAACCUGCCUGGUAGCGGGGGAUAACUAUUGGAAACGAUAGCUAAUACCGCAUAAUAGCAGUUGUUGCAUGACAACUGUUUGAAAGGUGCAAUUGCACCACUACCAGAUGGACCUGCGUUGUAUUAGCUAGUUGGUGGGGUAACGGCUCACCAAGGCGACGAUACAUAGCCGACCUGAGAGGGUGAUCGGCCACACUGGGACUGAGACACGGCCCAGACUCCUACGGGAGGCAGCAGUAGGGAAUCUUCGGCAAUGGACGGAAGUCUGACCGAGCAACGCCGCGUGAGUGAAGAAGGUUUUCGGAUCGUAAAGCUCUGUUGUAAGAGAAGAACGAGUGUGAGAGUGGAAAGUUCACACUGUGACGGUAUCUGACCAGAAAGGGACGGCUAACUACGUG